rnacentral:rRNA from 1 species
CCUACGGGAGGCAGCAGUGAGGAAUAUUGGUCAAUGGGCGAGAGCCUGAACCAGCCAAGUCGCGUGAAGGAUGAAGGACCUAUGGUUUGUAAACUUCUUUUAUAUGGGAAUAAAGUGAUGAACGUGUUCAGUUUUGUAUGUACCAUAUGAACAAGUAUCGGCUAACUCCGUGCCAGCAGCCGCGGUACUACGGAGGAUGCGAGCGUUAUCCGGAUUUAUUGGGUUUAAAGGGUGCGUAGGUGGUUAAUUAAGUCAGCGGUGAAAGUUUGUGGCUCAACCAGAAAAUUGCAGUUGAUACUGGUAGACUUGAGUAUAUUUGAGGUAGGCGGAAUGCGUGGUGUAGCGGUGAAAUGCAUAGAUAGCACGCAGAACUCCGAUUGCGAAGGCAGCUUACUAAACUAUAACUGACACUGAAGCACGAAAGCGUGGGUAUCAAACAGGAUUAGAUACCCCAGUAGUC